GACGAACGCUGGCGGCGUGCUUAACACAUGCAAGUCGAACGGAAAGGCCCUGCUUUUGUGGGGUGCUCGAGUGGCGAACGGGUGAGUAUCACGUGAGUAACCUGCCCUUGACUUUGGGAUAACUUCAGGAAACUGGGGCUAAUACCGGAUAGGAGCUCCUGCUGCAUGGUGUGGGUUGGAAAGUUUCGGCGGUUGGGGAUGGACUCGCGGCUUAUCAGCUUGUUGGUGGGGUAGUGGCUUACCAAGGCUUUGACGGGUAGCCGGCCUGGGAGGGUGACCGGCCACAUUGGGACUGGGAUACGGGCAAGACUCCUACGGGAGGCAGCAGUGGGAAAUAUUGCACAAUGGGCGGAAGCCUGAUGCAGCAACGCCGCGUGCGGGAUGACGGCCUUCGGGUUGUAAACCGCUUUCGACUGUGACGAAGCGUGAGUGACGGUAAUGGGUAAAGAAGCACCGGCUAACUACGUG
rnacentral:rRNA from 1 species